GAUGAACGCUGGCGGCGUGCCUAAUACAUGCAAGUCGAGCGAACAGACGAGGAGCUUGCUCCUCUGACGUUAGCGGCGGACGGGUGAGUAACACGUGGAUAACCUACCUAUAAGACUGGGAUAACUUCGGGAAACCGGAGCUAAUACCGGCUAAUAUAUUGAACCGCAUGGUUCAAUAGUGAAAUACGGUUUUGCUGUCACUUAUAGAUGGAUCCGCCCCGCAUUAGCUAGUUGGUAAGGUAACGGCUUACCAAGGCAACGAUGCGUAACCGACCUGAGAGGAUGAGCGGCCACCUUAGUAAAGCUCCACCGUCCAGUCACCAACUGGAGACAGCAGUAGGGAAUCAUACGCAACGCGCGGAUAGCUGACGGGUCAACGUCGCGCGAGAGAUAACGGUCUUCGGGUCGUAAGACUCUGUUAUUAUUGAAGAACAAGUGUAUAAUUUUCUAUACACGUCUUGACGGUCCCUAAUCAGUAUGCUACGGCUAACUCCGUG
rnacentral:rRNA from 1 species